AUUUUGGCAUUGUUCUUCGAGCAGCGUGCCUUUUGGUAGACACUAGCCGUAUGUGGCUAUUGAGCACUUAAAAUGUGGCUAGUGUAACUAAAGAACUGCAUUUUAAAUUUUAUUUAGUCUUAGUUAAUUUAAAAUUUAAAUAAAAUGGCAUUAUGUGGCUCAUGGCUUACUAUAUUGCACAGCAUGGAUCUUGAACAUCGUUUUCCACAUUAACUUUCCCUUUCUAACAUUUCGAGGAAACAGUUUUGUGAGACUGAAAUCUAAGUCAUUCUUCUCAAGCCUGGGUCUGUGGAAAGGCCUAUGCUGGCUGUUUACCUUUUUCCCUUAAAUAGUUUUUAAGGUCCCGAGACUAGAUGAGAUUACCAAGUCUUCUCUCUUACAGAGCAGUCAGUAAGGCAAGAAAACACAUCUUACAGAUCCAUACCAGGGACUGGAAUCCAAAAUUGUCAGAUGCAUUUUUAGGUGAAUUGGCUGAAAAAUGUGUUGGGACCUCCAUCUCCGAAGCAGCAUCCCUCAGCUUUUGAACCACAAAGACCUCGACAUCUUCUGGCUACUGUGGAGCCGAUAUCAAGGCCCUGUGCACUGAAGCCGCCCUGAUUGCACUGCGGAGGCGUUAUCCCCAGAUCUAUGCUAGCAGUCAUAAACUGCAGCUGGAUGUUUCCUCAAUAGUGCUUAGUGCCCAAGAUUUUUACCAUGCAAUGCAGAAUAUCGUGCCUGCUUCCCAGCGUGCUGUGAUGUCUUCAGGGCAUGCACUAUCCCCCAUCAUAAGACCACUGCUGGAAAGAAGCUUCAACAACAUCCUAGCAGUCUUGCAAAAAGUGUUUCCUCAUGCUGAAAUUAGCCAGAGUGACAAAAAAGAAGAUAUAGAAACUUUAAUUUUAGAGGAUAGUGAAGAUGAAAAUGCUUUAUCAAUUUUUGAGACCAAUUGUCACUCAGGAUCACCAAAGAAACAGUCAUCAUCUGCUGCUAUACAUAAACCCUACCUUCAUUUUACAAUGUCACCAUAUCAUCAGCCAACCUCUUACAGGCCACGCUUAUUGCUCUCUGGAGAACGGGGCUCAGGUCAAACUUCUCACCUUGCUCCAGCACUUUUGCACACUCUAGAAAGAUUCUCUGUGCAUAGACUAGAUCUCCCAGCACUUUAUUCAGUUAGUGCCAAAACACCUGAGGAAUCAUGUGCACAGACAAAAUUACUGCAGGUUGUAUGCAAGUAAAAGAAUUACUCAGUACCAUUUAAAAUAAAUACAAAUGAUUUAGUAGAAAAAUAUAAAUCAACAAAAUUGACCCCAGAGAAGAGAGAAUCUAAACAAUCACUGUGGAAGAAGAAAUUCAGCAAGUAUCUUAAAACCACUAAACAUAGAUGGUUUCACAGCCCAAAAUAAACUCUACAUGGGCAGUGGAACUAUAAAAGUACUGGAAAAAUUCACAAGAACUUUGGAAAAAAAUAAUCCUUGGAUUUCCAAGAUCCAGGAUAGGAGGGUACGUGUUUGCAGAAAAGGUCAAAAUUUGAGAGUCCUGAAGGAGUUGUACUGUACAACUGUUCUGGAUUGGUGGAUAUGCAAAUAUUAAGGAAGGGAAGGAGCAAAUAUUACUUUUGAUAUUUUUCGUGAAGCUCGAAGAACAGUACCUAGUAUUGUUUACAUGCCUCACAUUGGGGAUUGGUGGGAAGCUGUCAGUGAAACUGUGAGAGCAACUUUUCUGACAUUGCUACAAGAUAUACCAUCAUUUUCACCUAUAUUUUUAUUGUCUACCUCUGAAACCAUGUACAGUGAACUGCCUGAAGAGGUUAAAUGUAUCUUUAGAAUACAGUAUGAAGAGGUCUUGUAUAUUCAAAGGCCUAUUGAAGAAGACAGAAGAAAAUUUUUUCAAGAAUUGAUUCUCAAUCAGGCAUCAAUGGCUCCACCACGAAGGAAACAUGCUGCUCUUUGUGCUAUGGAAGUGCUUCCUCUUGCACUACCUUCUCCACCUCGUCAAUUAUCAGAAUCAGAAAAAAGUCGAAUGGAGGACCAGGAGGAAAAUACUUUAAGAGAGUUGCGGUUGUUUCUCAGGGAUGUAACCAAGAGGCUGGCCACAGAUAAACGCUUUAACAUCUUCAGCAAACCGGUGGAUAUUGAAGAGGUUUCAGAUUAUCUUGAAGUAAUCAAGGAACCAAUGGACUUAUCAACAGUAAUAACUAAAAUUGAUAAACAUAAUUACCUGACUGCAAAGGAUUUCCUGAAAGAUAUUGACCUCAUCUGUAGCAAUGCUUUAGAGUAUAAUCCAGAUAAGGACCCAGGAGAUAAAAUAAUUAGGCACAGGGCUUGUACCCUGAAGGACACUGCACAUGCUAUCAUUGCAGCUGAAUUAGAUCCAGAAUUUAAUAAACUUUGUGAGGAAAUUAAGGAAGCAAGAAUAAAAAGAGGCUUAUCAGUAACAUCAGAACAAAUAAAUCCUCAUAGUACUGGAGCUCGGAAGACAGAAACUAGAGUCGAAGAGGCAUUUCGGCACAAACAAAGAAAUCCAAUGGAUGUGUGGCACAACUCUGCAAAUAAAUGUGCAUUUCGGGUUCGGAGAAAAUCAAGGCGGAGAUCACAGUGGGGUAAAGGAAUUAUUAAGAAAAGGAAAGUUAAUAAUUUAAAAAAAGAUGAAGAAGACACCAAAUUUGCAGACUAUGAGAACCAUACGGAGGACAGGAAAUUAUUAGAGAAUGGAGAGUUUGAGGUAAGCACUGACUGCCAUGAGGAAAAUGGAGAAGAGACUGGAGACUUAUCUAUGACCAAUGACGAAUCAUCCUGUGACAUCAUGGACUUGGACCAGGGGCAGAGGCUUAACAGUGGAGCAGGCACAAAAGAGAACUUUGCAUCUACUGAGGAGGAAAGUUCAAAUGAAUCUCUACUGGUCAACAGCAGCAGUUCCUUAAACCCGGAGCAGACCUCCAGGAAAGAGACUUUCCUUAAAGGAAAUUGUCUAAAUGGUGAGGCUUCCACUGACAGUUUUGAAGGAAUACCAGUUCUGGAAUGUCAGAAUGGCAAGCUUGAAGUAGUUUCUUUCUGUGAUAGUGGAGAUAAAUGUAGUUCUGAACAAAAGAUUCUUCUGGAGGACCAGUCAAAAGAAAAACCAGAAACUUCGACUGAAAAUCAUGGAGAUGAUCUUGAGAAACUAGAGGCACUGGAAUGUAGCAAUAAUGAGAAGUUAGAACCUGGCCCUGAUGUGGAGGUUAAAGAUGCAGAACUGGAUAAAGAAGGUGCUUCUAAAGUAAAGAAAUACCGUAAAUUAAUUUUAGAGCAGGCAAAAACGACAAGCCUGGAACUGGUUCCAGAAGAGCCAUCUGAGCCUGUGCCUCCUCUUAUAGUUGAUCGUGAGAGAUUGAAGAAAUUGCUUGAUUUGUUGGUGGAUAAAAGCAACAAUCUGGCAGUUGAUCAGCUUGAGAGAUUAUAUUCUCUUCUUAGUCAGUGUAUCUACCGUCAUCGUAAAGAUUAUGACAAAUCACAACUUGUAGAGGAGAUGGAAAGAACAGUUCAUAUGUUUGAGACAUUCCUAUGAACUUUUCAAGAUGAGUGGUUUAUCCUCUCCAAUCUGCUCCUCACAGAGCAGUCUUCUGAGCCAUUCAAUUUCAAAUUGCACCAAUUAUGUGCAGAGCCUUGGUGUAAAGUGCUCUCUCACUCAUUCUUUCUCUCUGUUGAAUUUGGUGCUAUUGUCUCAGGUACCUGAAACCAACCAGCCUACAAGAACCAAACAGAACUUCAGAAACAUGUUGUAUUUUCCACAAAUAAAAAAUACAACCCC
rnacentral:sRNA from 1 species